rnacentral:rRNA from 1 species
AUGACUGGGGUGGCGCUGGCUGGCUUAAAGUUAGCAGCAUCGCCAAUCCUGAAGAGGCUCCUCGCUGAUGCUUCAAUGUUCCUUGGAGUGGACAUGGCAAGUGAGCUCCAUGAACUGGAGACCACAAUUAUGCCGCAGUUCGAGCUGAUGGUUGAAGCAGCUAACAAAGGCAACCACAUGGUCAAGUUGGACAAAUGGGUCCAAGAGCUCAAAGAAGCCUUCUACAAGGCUGAGGAUCUGCUGGACAUGCAUGAGUAUGACCUCCUUGAGCGCAAAGCAAAGAAUGGGGGAGAUUGCCCACCACCGUGUGCCUCAUCCAUCAGCACUAUUUUGAAGCCUCUGCGUGCUGCAUCUAACAGAUUAUCCAAUGUUCGCCCAAAGAACAAGAAGCUACUUUUCCAGCUGAAUGAAUUGAAGGCCAUUCUAGCGAAAGGGAAGGGGUUCUCUGAGCUUCUUUGUUUACCAGGUGGUAACAGUGCAGAGAGGCCCAUUAUUCCUCAGGCCACAUCAUUACCACCUCUGAAAGUAAUAGGUCGUGACAAGGAUCGCGAUGAUAUAAUAAACCUUCUUACCGAGCCGGUUGCUGUUGAAGCUAAUUCAGCUGUAUAUGCGGGUUUGGCCAUUGUCGGAGCAGGAGGUAUGGGAAAAUCCACCUUGGCACAACAUGUUUACAAUGACAAGAGGGUGCAAGAACAUUUUGAUGUCAGGAUGUGGGUGUGCAUCUCACGCAAACUUGAUGUCCAUCGUCAUACACGGGAGAUAAUCGAAUCCGCAGCUAAGAGGGAGUGCCCACAUCUUGAUAAUCUGGAUACUCUCCACUGCCAAUUAAGGGACAUACUGCAGAAGUCUGAGAAAUUCUUGCUUGUAUUGGAUGAUGUUUGGUUUGAUGAUUCGAGUAGUCAGAUGGAAUGGGACCAACUGCUAGCUCCCCUAGUUUCUCAGCACAAGGGAAGCAAAGUUUUGGUAACUUCUCGACAGGAUACAUUUCCUUCCGCUCUUUACUGUGAAAAGGUGCUCCGCUUGGAAAGCAUGGAAGAUACUCAGUUCUUGGCACUCUUCAAAUACUAUGCCUUCACUGGAGCACAAAUUGGAGACCCUCCGUUGCUUGAAAGGCUAGAAGCGAUUGCAGAGGAGAUAGCUAAAAGGCUUGGACAGUCUCCUUUGGCUGCAAAAGUUGUUGGUUCCCAGUUGAAAGGGAAAAUGAAUAUCUCUGCCUGGAAAGAUGCUCUGACUUUAAAGAUUGACAACUUAAGUGAGCCUAGAAUGGCUCUGUUGUGGAGUUAUCAGAAGUUAGAUCCACGUCUGCAGAGGUGCUUUGUAUAUUGUAGUUUGUUUCCAAAAGGGCACAGGUAUAACACUGAUGAGUUGGUUCACCUGCUGAUAGCGGAGGGGCUUGUUGAUCCGUGCAACCAGAACAGGAAAAUGGUAGAUGUUGGAAAGGAUUACCUCAAUGAGAUGGUUUCUGGGUCUUUCUUGCAACCAUUUUCUGAAAGAUUUUUGGACACAUCCUACAUUAUGCAUGAUCUUCUUCAUGAUUUGGCAGAGUCGCUCUCUAAAGAAGACUGUUUCAGAUUAGAAGAUGAUAAGGUGACAGAAAUACCAUGCACCGUCCGUCGUCUGUCUGUUCGUGUUGAGAGCAUGAAACAACAUCAGCUCAGUAUCUGCAAGCUACAUCAUUUGCGCACUGUUAUCUGCAUUGACCCACUUACAGAUGAUGUGAGUGAUGUUUUUAGUCAGGUACUUCAAAACUUGAAGAAGUUACGUGUACUCUAUUUGUGCUUCUACAAUAGUAACAAGCUACCCAAAUCUGUGGGUAAGCUGAAACACCUUCGGUAUUUAAACCUCAUUAAAACUUCCAUUGUCGAAUUGCCUGGAUCAUUAUGUGCUCUUUACCACCUACAGUUACUCCUGUUGAACCAUAAAGUUACGAGUUUGCCUCACAAACUAUGUAAAUUAAGCAAGUUACGGCAUCUUGAAGGGUAUCGUGAUCUGGGAUAUAGGAUGUAUGAAGUAGCUCUGCCUCAAAUCCCUUAUAUAGGCAAGCUAACUUUGCUCCAGCAUGUUGAAGAUUUUUGUGUGCAAAAGCAGAAGGGGUAUGAGUUGCGGCAGCUCAGAGACAUGAAAGAGCUUGGUGGCAGUUUAAGAGUCAGAAAUCUCGAGAAUGUUACUGGAAAGAAUGAAGCCUUAGAGUUGAAGCUAUAUCAGAAAAGUCAUCUUAGAAGCUUGGCCCUUGUCUGGAGUUGCAAUAAUGGCAAGAAUGCAGAUGACAGUUUACAGUUGGAGAUUCUAGAAGGUUUGAUGCCACCGCCUCAACUGAAAGGCCUCGAGAUCAAGGGUUACAAAUCUGCCACGUAUCCAAGUUGGUUACUUGAGGGUUCAUAUUUUGAGAAUUUGGAAUCUUUUAAGCUUGUCGAUUGCAGUGCCUUAGAAGGCCUGCCACUCAAUACUGAGCUCUUCAGGCAUUGCUCAAAACUAGAGCUCGAGAAUGUCUCGACUCUGAAAACGUUAUCGUGUCUUCCAGCAGCCCUUACAUGCUUAUCAAUUAGCAGUUGCCCACUGCUUAUAUUUAUUACCAGUGAUGAGCUAGAACAGCAUGAUCAGAUGGAAAACAUCAUGAGAACAGACCACUUGGCAUCACAACUUGCUUCGAUAUGGGAGGUGGAUUCUGAAUCGGAAAUUAAGGAAGUAUUAUUGUCAGAACAUUCAUCUCUGAAGCAAAUGAUGACAUUAAUGGAUGCUGACAUGUCACAUCUUCAAACGAUUGCAUGUGCUGUAGAAAGAGAGCACGGUGAGUUAGUUCUGGAAGAUGAUAUCAUUAAGGCAUGGAUAUGUUGCCACGAGCAGAGGAUGAGAUUCAUUUAUGGUAGAAGCAUCAACUUGCCGUUGGUUCCACCAUCAGGUCUUCGCGCACUUCGUCUUUCUUCAUGCAGUGUUACAGAUGAGGCAUUAGCUGUUUGCCUUGGUGGUCUCACGUCACUGAGAAGUUUGUUCUUAAUGUAG